AUUAUAUAUGAUUGACAAGUCGUUACCAUGGCAACCUGUCAAUCAGGCUAGAGCCGACUCGUACCCACGCCACUGUGUAAAUUUAACCAGCGCCGCUGAAAAGGCUUAUUGGGAGUUGGCUGUUUACUUUCUCUGUCUCUCUUUCUUCUCUGUAUCUCCAUCUCCCAGGAAUAAGGAUACCUCACAUUACUAUUUGCGUCUCCAGUUGAACACCAAAGCUUGCUUCCGGUGGAGACUGGUUGAAUGUGGGACAGAAAGACCCCAAAAAGAGGAAGACAGAGAAAGGUCAAUCUGUGACGAUUCUAUCAAGAUCGUGAUCUAAGAGCACCGCCCCGCCAGCAAGCAAACACAUGAAAGUGAAGCAGAGCGUGCAUGUGUCUCUCAAUAUGACAGCUUUUAUAAUAAAAGAUAACGAAGAGAGUGACAGCAAAAAGCAUCUCCCUCUCUUUUCUGCUGAGGGUUUCACAGGAACGUUUUCAGGCCCGAGGCUCCAAUCAAACCAAGCCAGGAGACAACACAACAGCCGACAGCUACUCAAUCAAUGUUGGAAACCCAGCUGACACCGACACGACAGUCAUCACUUCUUCUCACCAUGAGUCUUCAAGGUGUACCGCAGUUUUUUUUUUUUGCUCUAUUGGCAUCUCGAUUGGAAUGAGGAGGGUGAAAACUACAAUAUGCUACCUUAAAAAGCAUAUGGUUUCCCCGAGCUUCUUCUUUUCACAUGACCUGUAGGAGAGCAGACAGAACCUGACAGGCAACCUCUUGUGUGUGCAAAACUACCGUAAAACCUCUUUAAAGGAUUUCACGGUGGACAGUUUAGUGCACAAAGUACUUCAAUACCAGAUCCCAUACAAUGCUGGUCUGUCAAUCCACUACUUCGGUCCAGACUAAUAUGGCUUUUAGAUGGAUUGCCAUUAAAUUUUGUACAGAUACUCAUGUUUCCCAGAAGAUGAAUCCUAACCACUUUGGUGAUCUCCUUACAUUUACUCUAGCACUAACAAAAAGUUUAAUUGUUUUAUAGGUAAUUUUGGAAAACACUGACACCCAUAAUACCCCCCAGCCCAUCCCUGCAGUGAUCAAAGUGGUUCACACUUCUGGGAAACCAAAAACUGCUUGUUGGCGUUUUUCAUGUUGUUUGUCCUACUAUGCAAAGUUAUAAAGUGAUGGGGUUUUUCAAGCUUUUUUAUGCUUUUCAGAUGGACAAUGAUGAUGCCAAGCAGAAUAGAUGCAGGGCUUCCAUGCAGCUAUACAACCGUACUUAUUAAAAAAUCAUUAUCUAAUGGGUAGAGGGAUCAAUAAUAAUAUCAAAGUUGUGUUAUCACGCAACCCUGGUCACCAGAAUGAGAUAAAUUCUUUACAAUCAUGACAAUUCUCUUGCGCUGAACAUAAAAAAAAAAGAUAAUACAGAUAAAGAUUAAGGUAAUCUCAUUAAAAAUGUAUCAUCAGAGUCAAUUCAUCUUGCGUUCUUCCCAACCAGUAGGCUAGUGUAUUGAUCAAGCAAAUCAAACUGCACUCUAUCUACCAUUACAUGGGUGGACUAAUGACUGACCAAUAGAAAAUGUCCAUCAAAAGGCCAAUUACCAACUGGAUUUGCAGUUAUUUAGAGUCGUUUUAUCAUCACAAUGUCAAAUAUAGAUCUGCUCUGUGAAGAAAGAAUGCGUAAUGAUGGUGAAAAAUCACAAUAGGGCACCCAGGAGGGACGUUUCUGAGGCUAAAGGACAUUUUGUACAGUCGAUCACUAUUGAUGAACUACAGAAUAAAGGAGGUUGUGAAUGUCUGGAGUAGAACAACUGCAGCUUUUGGCUCCAACAAAACCUUGCGCUCUGUUCUCAUCAUUUUCAGAGGAUUACCAUCAUAUUCACUAAUUAAAGGAUGAAUUGAAAUCUUAUUCUCGGCGGUGCUGUAGUCUUAACGGGAUCCCUGGACAUUGGAGCUUUUAGUCUGCUGUUUUCUUUUACCAGAGAAGCCAUGAAGUGGCAACACAGUCUCUGUUACCAAUUAGCCUAGCUGAAGAAAACAGUGUGUUUAGUUUGUCCUCGCAGUCAUGGUGUGAAAAGCACUUUGCAUUUGUUCCUUCUUUCUUUUUGUGCUGCUCCGGCGCUCCAAGGACACUCAGCACACACCUUCCUCCCUGAGUAUCCCAACCUCAGACACAAACACAGCAGGCGAGAACAAGGGCACAUACUGAAUCUCUCUGAUAGAGAAAAUACAAAUAAUGUUGUCUGUGAUGCUCAGAAAAGAGUAUCACAUCAGCCAAUGGAGAUGGCAGAGGAUAUGAGCCAAACACACAGCUAUUGUGAUUUUUGUACCACAAAUGUUAGUGUGUCCCUGAAUGUAUGCAAGUUUAUCAUCAAUUAAGUUCAUUGAAAUUUCAAAUAUGUGGUCAACGUUACAAAAUGAACACCUUAUAAAUCACAUGGAACGUGUUUGGAUACGUGAGGUCCCGCUAGUUUAUCAAGAGCUGUCAACGUCCACUGUCAAACAGCUGCACAGUGAAAUUUGAAGUGACAGGAAUAAACUAUAGAGAGCCUAAGUCCCUCCACUUCCAGUGGACCACCGCGGGACCUUAUUUCAGAAUAAAUAUGCACCGUAGUCCACGGCGAGAGAGAAGAAUUUGUUGGUGGAACGUGGAAGGGCAUCAACCCAGCAGCAGGACCAGUAUCUGCUCCUUUGUGAGGGGAGGAACCGGAGCCAGAGCCCUACAAAAUAACCUCCAGCGGGCUAAUGAUGUGCAUGUUUGUGACCAAACUAUCAGAAAAAGACUCCAUAAGGGUAGCAAGAGGGCUGUACCGGGAUGAAAUCUUCAGAGCCAUCGUUAAACCUUACGCUGGUGCAGGUGGCCCUGUGUUCCUCCUGGUCAAUGUCCAGCCUCAUGUGGCCAGUGUGUGUAGGUAGCUCAUGGAUGACAAAGGCAGUGAUGCCAUUGACUGGCCGUCAUGUUCCACAGACCUGAAUCUAACUGAGAACCUCUUGGACGUUCUUUAUUGAAUCUUUUAGAAUCGAUAAUUGUGGCUUCCAAUCAUCCAUCCAUACAAUUUAUACCCCCUGCUUAUUCUGUUCAGGCUCAUGAAAUACAUGAGCAUACACCGGACAGCUUGUCAGGUCCAUCACAGGACUGACACACACGAACAGACAAACGGCAGUCAAUCUGGAGUUCACUUCACCUGCAUUUCUUUGCUUCGAGGAACAGAAAAAUCCUCCUAAACAUGAGGAGAAGGUACUUACUCCACACAGAGAAGUCACAGUGAACCUACUGGAUCAACAACACAUUCUUGGGCUGCCUGUAAAGUGUUAAAUCUGUUGUUUGUGGACAUUAAUUCCACCGCCAUUGUCUUGCCAAGCUCUCCACCACUUCAGAUAAUCUUAAUCAACCACUGACACAGCUGCAUUGUAAUCCUGCAUAUCCAAAUUUUGUGUGUAUUUGUACAGCUUUUCCUACUAUACACAGUGUCUAAUUCUGUACUGGGAUAGUAUCACCAUGCCUGUUAUAUAAAAUCUUCUGUCCUCUA